UGAUAGCGGAGGAGCAGCCAGACAGACCCAGUAGGACAGCACCGCGUGAAGGGAACAGUACAUUGCAAUAUUCUUUGCAACACCCAGCCAAUCAUCCCACCUCUCGCCCUGCCGCCCCCAUUCAGGAGUGACCGCUGCUCUUACCCUAAACCCAAGUGUGCCUGGUUAGAGCUACAGAUUCCAAGCCUUUCCGUGCGCUAGUGACGGCACUGUUCCCAGCACUCUCCAUAGCAGUGACCAGGACGCCGCCGCUGAGAACACCCUGUAAAAGCAGUUUCUUCAGCGCCUCCCGCUAAGACACAACACAUGCAGUUUUAGUGUAACGCAUGACGAAAAGUGGUGCUGCUCGAGUGAAGGAUUUCCAGUUGGACGCGUGGUUUUUAAGUGCCUGUCAAAUGAGAAGGCCAAGGGUGUGUUCAAGACGUAAAGUUAUGGGAGCCACUAAGAUCUCCGCCAUCCAGAGCGAUGCCAACACUAUCAAAGGCCUGGAGUGACGGUACUGUGGCUCGAGUCAGAGAUAUACGGUUGACAGACUACGUUCAUUGUGCGGGUGAAAUACGGUAAUGACGAACCUCGCUCAGAGUCAUAAAUCCGACCCAAGCAACGAGCAGCGCGGCGGGGCCAUCCAUCACGCCAGCCGCCCAGAGCCCCGCCACCACGCAGCGCCACCGAGACACACCCCGCUCUGGCACCCCGACACCCGUGCACCCCGCCACGCCAGGGAAAUACUUGGGUAUCCUACGCUUCUCACCUCCCAGCUCAUUGCUUUCCUUCAUAUUAGUGUACAUAUAUUUUUUUUCAUUUUUCUUCUUUCCCUUUUUAUCUUAUUUUUAAGGUUUACAGUUUUUAUUUUUGUUUUUUUUACUUUUAUUUUUUAUGUAUUUUCUUUUAUUUGCAGUCAUUGUUCAUUUCCUCCUUUUCGUUUUUUUCUGUAGUUUUUUUUUUUUUGUAGCAAGAUUAUAACUUUCUGUACAUUUUUUUAUAUUUCUAUGCGAUUUGAUAACUGUCUCAUUAUGCAGUUGGAAAGCGCAUAGCCAAAUAACCAAUAAUAAUAAUAAUAAUAAUAAUAAUAAUCCUUCACCCAUCCUACCCUAUUCCACCACUGCCUCUCACCAUCCCUUCACAAUCCAGCGUUCUUUCCAUCCUCCAUAUCCUUCACCCCAUCCUGCUCUCCUGUUCCAUCACUGCCUCUCACGUCCCUUCCCAAUGCAGUGUUCACAUCCCCCACAUCUUUCACUUACUCCUCUACUCUCCACCACUCCUACUCUGGGAUCUACAACACCUCUCAUCUCCCUUCCCAACAAGUCCCUUUUCCUUCCACUCCCUGCCCCACCUUACGCAUCCCUCCAU